rnacentral:tRNA from 1 species
CCUGGUGGCUCAGUUGGUAAAGAAUCUGCCUGCAAUGCAGGAGACCCUGGUUCAAUUCCUGGGUCAGGA